UACAGGGGGUGCAAACGUUGCUCGGAAUCAUUGGGCGUAAAGCGCACGUAGGCGGUCUGUUAUGUCGGAUGUGAAAGCCCUCGGCUCAACUGAGGAAGUGCAUCCGAAACUGGCAGGCUAGAGUACUAAAGAGGGUCGCGGAAUUCCCGGUGUAGAGGUGAAAUUCGUAGAUAUCAGGAAGAACACCCGUGGCGAAGGCGGCUCUCUGGUACGUGACUGACGCUGAGACGCGAAAGCGUGGGGAGCGAACAGG
rnacentral:rRNA from 1 species